rnacentral:snRNA from 1 species
GGAUGUGAGGGCAAUCUAGCUGCAACAUCUGUCACCCACUGAUGGUCAGGGUUGAUCUGGCCGAUUUGGCUGACCAGGCAGGUGUCCCCUUCCUCCCUCGCCACUCCAUGUAUGUCCCUCCCAAAGCUGUAUGCUCAGUGGAAGAGGAUGACCUUCCUUGACAGAGAAGGACCAUUCUUCAGUCAAGGGUACAUGAGCAGCUACGCUUCCCUGUUAGAACCUCCAAACAUACUCUCGAAGAAGGUAAAUCUGUUGUAUUUCAUGUCAUGUAAGUGGGUUCUGGAUUAUCCACAUGAUUAACUCCAUGAGCCAUCAGCAUAA